AUUGAACGCUGGCGGCAGGCCUAACACAUGCAAGUCGAACGAGUGGCGGACGGGUGUGUAAUGUCUGGGAAACUGCCCGAUGGAGGGGGAUAACUACUGGAAACGGUAGCUAUUACCGCAUACCAUCGGAUGUGCCCAGAUGGGAUUGGCUAGUAGGUGGGGUAAAGGGUCACCUAGGCGACGAUCACUAGCUGGUCUGAGAGGAUGACGAGCAACACUGGAACGGAGAAACGGUCCAGACUCCUACGGGAGGCAGAAGUGGGGAAUAUUGCACAAUGGGGGCAAGCCUGAUACAGCCAUGCCGCGUGUGUGAAGAAGGCCUUCGGGUUGUAAAGUACUUUCAGCGAGGAGGCGUUACCCGCAGAAGAAGCACCGGCUAACUCCGUGCCAGCAGCCGCGGUAAUAC
rnacentral:rRNA from 1 species